ACGGGUGAGUAACGCGUGGGUAACCUGCCUUAUACAGGGGGAGUAACAGUCAGAAAUGGCUGCUAAUACCGCAUAAGCGCACAGAGCUGCAUGGCUCAGUGUGAAAAACUCCGGUGGUAUAAGAUGGACCCGCGUUGGAUUAGCUAGUUGGUGGGGUAACGGCCCACCAAGGCGACGAUCCAUAGCCGGCCUGAGAGGGUGAACGGUCACAUUGGGACUGAGACACGGCCCAGACUCCUACGGGAGGCAGCAUG
rnacentral:rRNA from 1 species